AGAGGAGCCAGCUCUCUGGUUUCUACUGAAAUGUUUCUAGCAUUAAACAAACAUUGGAGGAAACACAAACAUCUGUCUGGAAGCGAAGCCUGGAGCUCGUGAAUUCCAGGGCUGGCUGUGGCCCCUGCCUCUGAUUUCCUGUGUGGGCCAGGACAAUUGGCUUCUUCUCUCUGUGUCUUAGGUGAGCUGGCUCUCCUUCCUGGCUCCUACCCUUAACCCUGGCCACAUGGUGGGAUUAGGAGGGCAGAUGCAAUUGGAAAGUAGGAGGAAGUGUCUCAUUCCACGGUGGCACCAGGCAGAAGUGGGCAGGAGAGAUGUUUACCCUGCCAGGCCUCAUAAAGUCAUCUUUCUCAGCAAACCACCAUUUAUUAACCCCUUCUCUUCUCCAGUCACUCAGCUACACUAAUGCACGAGAAUGCUCAGACGACAUGGUAUCUCUUAGGAUGAUCUAUAUCUUAAGGGCAAAUGCAGCCAUUGCUGAAGAAUUGGGUAGGUGAAAUCAUUCAUUGAACCUGUGCAUUUGGUUUCACCAUGUUUUCACGUGUUUCUAGAUAGCU
rnacentral:lncRNA from 1 species